AUUGAACGCUGGCGGCAUGCCUUACACAUGCAAGUCGAACGGCAGCACGGACUUCGGUCGGGUGGCGAGUGGCGAACGGGUGAGUAAUACAUCGGAACGUGUCCUGGAGUGGGGGAUAGCCCGGCGAAAGCCGGAUUAAUACCGCAUACGCUCUAUGGAGGAAAGCGGGGGAUCGCAAGACCUCGCGCUCAAGGGGCGGCCGAUGGCAGAUUAGCUAGUUGGUGGGGUAAAGGCCUACCAAGGCGACGAUCUGUAGCUGGUCUGAGAGGA
rnacentral:rRNA from 1 species